UUGUGCCUCUUACCUUGGGCAGAUUUUUGGACACAAAGGUCUGCUGUCGAGAAAGGAAGUGGUCAGUGAAUGCAGUUCUGAGUCACUGAAGGCCCUGCUAGAAGAAAGCAGAAGGCGAGCAGAAACGCUUGAGCAGGAAAGAGACCGAACUUUACAAAAACGGCAGGAUCUUGAACCUCCCCAGCAGGACAAAACAGAGAAAGAAUCUCCAUUAGAGACUAAAAAACAGAAACCCGCGGGUUCAGACCUUGUAGAUCCAAACCAACAGAGGAGGCAGGUCACCGAGCAGGUGCUGCACCGUGUCCACAGUAAAACUCCUAAACACUUCAUCA
rnacentral:lncRNA from 1 species